UCAAGAAAGCAGCGGUCAGAACUGUAUUAUUCUCCUCUUUGAUGUAAUAAAGUCAGCUAUUAGAUAUGAGAAAACCAUUUCAGAAGCCUGGAUUAAGGCAAUUGAAAACACUGCCUCAAUAUCUGAACAUAAGCACCAAUACUCAGACAAAGAAGUACAUUGAAAGGGUGCUAAGAAAUAAGAUUCGAUCAGACUGUAUUCAAGAACAGCUGCUCCAGAGUACAUUCUCUGUUCAUUACUUAGUAAGUGUCAGAGACUAUUGAUUUUUAAUCUAAAACAGAAAGCUUUACAGCUCUCAUGUAAAAUUUCAUCUUAGUUCAUUGUUCAAACCCAUUGAAAUUUUUGAAUUUUAUGUUUGCAUUAGCAUUUUAAUUAUCUAUCUCAAUGCAGUUUGCAACUAUGACAAACUAGCCUUUCGUAUCCUAUUCUAAUUAGCCUAUAAAAACCUUGAGGGGAAUAGGACCAGCCUGUAGAAACUAGUAGAAAUGUAAAUAUGAACCUAUUUGAACUAUCACUCUUUGGCCUUUCAAAACUGGAUUUUAAGUGAUAAUUCCUCUGGAAAUGUAAAUUAUUCAAACUGGAAUUUGUAAACUGGGAAUAAUGUUUUGCUGGCUGAACGUUCAGUAUAUUAACAGUAUAGAACUUAGAAAACUGGAUGGGCCAGUGGUUUGAGGUUUCGGUUAGGAGCUAAUGAGAAUACCUCAUUGGAUCUUACAUUUUAUAUUUAGGAAUAGAUUUAAUGUUUGUAUUAUUUCAUCUAGCAGUUCUUUUCUGUGUUUAUUUCUGCCAGUUAUAUAUGCUUUGGGCUGUAAUUUUCUAGACACGGAAACCAUGUGUAAUUUUUCAUUGCAUUUUCCCCAAUAAAGCAUUAUACCCAGCUUAGUACUAAAUGUAAGAUUUUUAAAAAUUAUGUUAUCAGUAAGGAAGCUAUGUAUUAACUGGUUAUUUACUCUGGGUCCAUUAAUGUCUAUAUAUAUUGCAUUAUUGAUAGAGCAUGAUCACUUCUUUUCUUUUAAAAAAAUCAGUUUAGUUAGCAUUGAACUUUAUAGACCAACUUCAAAUUAUAACCAAGGUGGAACAUCCCUGGGGGGUAGUGUGAUUACGUGAGGAAACUGGGAUUUAGAAGAUCUGGCCUCCAAUCCCAAAUUGAGCAGAUAGGAAUGUACUGUUAGGCUUAUAACUUCUUUGAGCUUAACGGUCAAUUAUUAUCCAAAUGUGGACUCCCACUGAUGCUGAGAGAAACCUCAGAAUGGUGAAGAUUAUUCUGUGUAAAACAAAGAUUAAGAUUUCUUAAGUUAAAAUGAGAGUUGGGGAAGAGAAGUCUGACAUUCCAAAAGGAUAAGCAACUCUUAGGUUGUGUACUAACUUUCCUACAGCUUCUUUUCUCUCUCUACUCUUCCCCCUCAAGGUUCUUAAGGAUAUGUGUUCAUCCAUUCUGUCGCUGGCUCAGAGUUUGCUUCACUCUCUAGACUAGAUAUAAUUUCAUUUGGCAGUCUCCUAUACAAAUAAUGUAUUUACGUUUUUUGACACAUACUGCCAGCAGGUAUGUGGAAAUACUUAUUUUGGCAAGGAGGGAACAGAGGAAGAAUCAUGUAAUGCUUAUUUUUUGUUGGUUGGAACUUACUGAAGGGAAAGGAACUCUGAACUGGGUCUCAGGAAAGCUCAAUUCUACUCCCAGCCUUGAUGAAAUGAAGAGACUUGACUGGUGGAUCUAACUCCGUGUUCUGAGCUCUAAAAUUCUCUGUCUGAAAUUAAGAUACAGAUCCGGUCUAUUUCAAAACAUGAGACACUUUUUUUUUUUAAGAUGGAGUUUGUUCUUGUUGCC